UACAGAGGUGCCGAGCGUUAGGCGGAAUCACUGGGCUUAAAGCGUGUGUAGGCGGAUGCCUAAGUACCUUGUGAAAUCCCACAGCUCAACUGUGGAACUGCUUGGUAUACUGGGUGUCUUGAGCCACUUAGGGGUUACCGGAACAAAUGGUGGAGCGGUGAAAUGCGUAGAGAUCGGAAAGAACACCAACGGCGAAAGCACUCUGCUGGGCCGACACUGACACUGAGAGACGAAAGCUAGGGGAGCGAAUGGG
rnacentral:rRNA from 1 species